GGUGGUGGCUAGAAAUUGAUGGAAACAGUGGGAAAAAACACACAAACUGGAAUGUAACAAGACCUAACCAGUAACAAGACCUCGACUAGGACACAAACUCAACACUAGGGACUCUGAAACUGAAAUAUGCAAAGGCUAUGGCGCGGAUGGGUUGUAGGACAUGAAAACAAUAUGGCAAUAGACUUAUGGGACGAACACAAGG
rnacentral:lncRNA from 1 species